rnacentral:rRNA from 1 species
GACGAACGCUGGCGGCGUGCUUAACACAUGCAAGUCGAACGGAAAGGCCCUGCUUUUGUGGGGUGCUCGAGUGGCGAAGGGGUGAGUAACACGUGAGUAACCUGCCCUUCACUUUGGGAUAACUUCAGGAAACUGGGGCUAAUACCGGAUAGGAUCUCCUGCUGCAUGGUGGGGGUUGGAUAGUUUCGGCGGUUGGUGAUGGACUCGCGGCUUAUCAGCUUGUUGGUGGGGUAGUGGCUUACCAAGGCUUUGACGGGUAGCCGGCCUGGGAGGGGGACCGGCCACAUUGGGACUGAGAUAAGGCCCAGACUACUACGGGAGGCAGCAGUGGGGAAUAUUGCACAAUGGGAGGAAGCCUGAUGCAGCAACGCCGCGUGGGGGCUGACGGCCUUCGGGUUGUAAACCGCUUUCGCCUGUGACGAAGCGUGAGUGACGGUAAUGGGUAAAGAAGCACCGGCUAACUACGUG